GAACUGCGAUAAGUAAUGUGAAUUGCAGAAUUCAGUGAAUCAUCGAGUCUUUGAACGCACAUUGCGCCCCCUGGCAUUCCGGGGGGCAUGCCUGUCCGAGCGUCAUUGCUGCCCUUCAAGCCCGGCUUGUGUGUUGGGUCGUCGUCCCCUCCGGGGGACGGGCCCGAAAGGCAGCGGCGGCACCGCGUCCGGUCCUCGAGCGUAUGGGGCUUUGUCACCCGCUCGAUAAGGACCGGCCGGGCGCCAGCCGGCGUCUCCAACCUUUUUUUCUCAGGUUGACCUCGGAUCAGGUAGGGAUACCCGCUGAACUGAAGC
rnacentral:misc_RNA from 1 species